rnacentral:rRNA from 1 species
UGGGGAAUCUUGGACAAUGGGGGCAACCCUGAUCCAGCCAUGCCGCGUGAGUGAUGAAGGCCUUAGGGUCGUAAAGCUCUUUCGCCUGUGAAGAUAAUGACGGUAGCAGGUAAAGAAACCCCGGCUAACUCCGUGCCAGCAGCCGCGGUAAUACGGAGGGGGUUAGCGUUGUUCGGAAUUACUGGGCGUAAAGCGCACGUAGGCGGACCAGAAAGUUGGGGGUGAAAUCCCGGGGGCUCAACCCCGGAACUGCCUCCAAAACUAUUGGUCUAGAGUUCGAGAGAGGUGAGUGGAAUUCCAAGUGUAGAGGUGAAAUUCGUAGAUAUUUGGAGGAACACCAGUGGCGAAGGCGGCUCACUGGCUCGAUACUGACGCUGAGGUGCGAAAGUGUGGGGAGCAAACAGGAUUAGAUACCCUGGUAGUCCACGCCGUAAAACGAUGGGUGCUAGGUGUUGGGUAGCUUGCUAUUCAGUGCCGAAGCUAACGCGUUAAGCA